GACGAACGCUGGCGGCAUGCCUAAUACAUGCAAGUCGAGCGAACAGAUGAAGUGCUUGCACUUCUGACGUUAGCGGCGAACGGGUGAGUAACACGUAAGGAAUCUACCUAUAAGCGGGGGAUAACAUUCGGAAACGGGUGCUAAUACCGCGUAAUAUCUUCUUCCGCAUGGAAGAAGAUUGAAAGACGGCUCUGCUGUCACUCAUAGAUGACCUUGCGGUGCAUUAGUUAGUUGGUGGGGUAACGGCCUACCAAGACGAUGAUGCAUAGCCGACCUGAGAGGGUGAUCGGCCACAUUGGGACUGAGACACGGCCCAAACUCCUACGGGAGGCAGCAGUAGGGAAUCUUCCGCAAUGGGCGAAAGCCUGACGGAGCAAUGCCGCGUGAGUGAAGAAGGCCUUCGGGUCGUAAAACUCUGUUAUAAGAGAAGAACAAAUUGUAGAGUAACUGCUACAGUCUUGACGGUAUCUUAUCAGAAAGCCACGGCUAACUACGUGCCAGCCGCCGCGGUAA
rnacentral:rRNA from 1 species